rnacentral:misc_RNA from 1 species
UCUCCGUUGGUGAACCAGCGGAGGGAUCAUUACAGAGUUAUCUAACUCCCAAACCCAUGUGAACUUACCUUUGUUGCCUCGGCAGUAGUUGCUGGGCGAGCCUACCCGGGAACGAGCUACCCUGUAGCGAGUUACCCUGGAACGACUUACCCUGUAACGCCUGCCGGUGGACCACACCAAAACUCUUGUUGUUACAGUGUCAUUCUGAAUUUAAAAACUUAAUCAGUUAAAACUUUCAACAACGGAUCUCUUGGUUCUGGCAUCGAUGAAGAACGCAGC